rnacentral:lncRNA from 10 species
UUCUGCCUCCUACCCCUUAUCUCCCUGGAUUCCCUGAGUGGCUUGCUGCUGGAGGCUGGGUGGGCUCGUGUUUUGUAGGAUUUGUUCCCUGCUGCCUCCUCAGCACCUGCAACAAUGCCUGGCAUGUGGCAAGAGCACAAGAAAGAGUGAAAGCCAAUGGCAACAGGGCAACAUCGGCAGCUUUCAGGGCUCCAGUGUCUCUAAUGAUUGGCACACGGGCGAAGACCUACUACGUGGCAUGCAGUGGGUGGGCUCCCAGCUCUUGAGCAGCUCAAGUCCAGGAAAACAAAUUAUUGGCCAUAAUUCUCAAAAUGGAGUUGGAAACUGAGCUGCUAGCACUGGAUGACCUCUAUCAAGAAACUAGCUACAUCUCAGGAACAAGAUAGUUUCUGUUCAGUUCAGCCAACCCGAGCUCCUGCCUGGGCUGGGCGUUGGGCUGGGCACCGAGGCUGCACAGCUGCUGAGCUCUGGCCCUGCCUCCAGGAGCUCAGUCUGUGGGAUAUGUACUGCACAGAGACAGCUCGGGACUCUAGACAUAGCUCGGAGGGUAAGGGAAGUCUUCCCGGGGGAGGUGUCAGCUGGGCUGAGUUUCGAUGAACUAAUGUUGUCCAGGUGAAUAAGGGAGAGAAUGGAUAGAAAAAGCGCAAGGCAGUAGUGAGACUCAUGAGAGAUCUGGAAACUUCACAGCUUCUGUGGUUCUCCAUGGACUUGCUGUUGUCUGAGUGUCCACAUGAGUGAAGGUGGAAGAAUGGGUGUGGGCUCUCUGUCCAGGCAGGUGGGGUCCCAUCAGGGAUAAUCAGUAUCUGCCCAGUAAUGAAGAUUGUUUUGACACAUGCAGGUGGUGCUGCACUCUUCCUUCCAACCACUGCCCAUUAGGGGACAGGCCGAGUCAGUUUGUGCCUAUCUUGCCCUAUCUCCUUCAAUGAAGAAAGUGAAUGCUGCAAGUAAUACAUGUUCAUUGUCAAAAACUAAGAAAAAUGUAAAUACCCCAUAGGCCAGGUGCGGUGGCUCACACCUGUAAUCCCAGCACUGUGGAAGGCAAAGGCAGGUGGACUGCCUGAGGUCAGGAAUUUGAGACCAGGCUGGCCAACACAGCAAAA